UACGUAGGGUGCAAGCGUUAUCCGGAAUUAUUGGGCGUAAAGAGCUCGUAGGCGGUUUGUCGCGUCUGCUGUGAAAACCCGAGGCUCAACCUCGGGCCUGCAGUGGGUACGGGCAAACUAGAGUGCGGUAGGGGAGAUUGGAAUUCCUGGUGUAGCGGUGAAAUGCGCAGAUAUCAGGAAGAACACCCGUGGCGAAGGCGGCUCUCUGGAACGCAACUGACGCUGAGACGCGAAAGCGUGGGGAGCAAACAGG
rnacentral:rRNA from 1 species